rnacentral:rRNA from 1 species
UACGAAGGGGGCUAGCGUUGCUCGGAAUUACUGGGCGUAAAGCGCACGUAGGCGGCUUUCUAAGUCGGGGGUGAAAUCCUGGAGCUCAACUCCAGAACUGCCUUCGAUACUGGAAAGCUCGAGUCCGGGAGAGGUGAGUGGACCUGCGAGUGUAGAGGUGAAAUUCGUAGAUAUUCGCAAGAACACCAGUGGCGAAGGCGGCUCACUGGCCCGGUACUGACGCUGAGGUGCGAAAGCGUGGGGAGCAAACAGG